AUUGAACGCUGGCGGCAUGCCUUACACAUGCAAGUCGAACGGUAACGGGCCUUCGGGUGCCGACGAGUGGCGAACGGGUGAGUAAUACAUCGGAACGUGCCCGAUCGUGGGGGAUAACGAGGCGAAAGCUUUGCUAAUACCGCAUACGAUCUACGGAUGAAAGCAGGGGACCGCAAGGCCUUGCGCGGAUGGAGCGGCCGAUGGCAGAUUAGGUAGUUGGUGGGAUAAAAGCUUACCAAGCCGACGAUCUGUAGCUGGUCUGAGAGGAUGAUCAGCCACACUGGGACUGAGACACGGCCCAGACUCCUACGGGAGGCAGCAGUGGGGAAUUUUGGACAAUGGGCGCAAGCCUGAUCCAGCCAUGCCGCGUGCAGGAUGUAGGCCUUCGGGUUGUAAACUGCUUUUGUACGGAACGAAAAGCCUUCUUCUAAUACAGGAGGGUCAUGACGGUACCGUAAGAAUAAGCACCGGCUAACUACGUGCCAGCCGCCGCGGUAA
rnacentral:rRNA from 1 species